AACGAACGCUGGCGGCAUGCCUAACACAUGCAAGUCGAACGAGACCUUCGGGUCUAGUGGCUCACGGGUGCGUAACGCGUGGGAACCUGCCCUUAGGUUCGGAAUAACUCCCCGAAAGGGGUGCUAAUACCGGAUAAUGUCUUCGGACCAAAGAUUUUUCGCCUUUGGAUGGGCCCGCGUUGGAUUAGCUAGUUGGUAGGGUAAAAGCCUACCAAGGCGACGAUCCAUAGCUGGUCUGAGAGGAUGAUCAGCCACACUGGGACUGAGACACGGCCCAGACUCCUACGGGAGGCAGCAGUGGGGAAUAUUGGACCAUGGGCGAAAGCCUGAUCCAGCAAUGCCGCGUGAGUGAUGAAGGCCUUAGGGUUGUAAAGCUCUUUUACCUGGGAUGAUAAUGACAGUACCGGGAGAAUAAGCUCCGGCUAACUCCGUG
rnacentral:rRNA from 1 species